GUUUAGCACCCUUGCGUUCAAUCCUUGGUACCAAAAGAAUUUUAAAAAAGAUUGAACUGGUGAGCCCUCACAUUUACUUAUGCUUCAUAAUUCUUUCUGUGGCCAUUGAGCUUGAUUUAAAAAAAUUUAAGAGCACAGAAUGUCAUAUUGUCCAGGCUGGUUCUCCUUUGAUGUAAAAUAACAACUUUGUCUUAAAGGAAAUAAGAUAAUUUUAAUUUUUUUUCCUGAGGCAAAUAUGAGUGACCAUGGCCUGAAAACAGAUUAAAUUGCCCUGAAUGACAUGUUUAACUGUGGAAAAGGUUAUAUGAAGUCACCAAACAGAAGAAAGUCAUAAACACUUAUAACUGAUAAGCACCCCUGGGUUCAAUCCCUGGUACAAAGUGAGAGAGAGAGAGAGAGAAAGACAGACAGGAUAUUAUGUCAGUAUGAAAGUUAAGGUAAGUGGUUGUUAAAGGGCCUAAAAUGUCCUGAGAUGAUUUUGGCUAUCAAAAACAUUCUUUCUCUGUACCCAUCACUGUGUUCUAGUCAGCUAAGGUUAAGCAUUCUGCAGAAUCUUCAACAUAUAUAUAGAUACAGUUUCUUCAGAGAACUUCAGUUUACAUUGUCACAGAGCAGGAAGCUGAAACUCCAAACCUCAAUUCUGGUGUUGCAACAAAAGAAAAUUUAAAGUCAGACACCAAGAGUCAUGCAAGAGAAUUUUAUAAUCAAUGAAGAUAAAGUGGAAUGAAGUGAGAGAAAGGUGAAAGUAAAGAAGGCACAAGCAGAGAACACUCUCAAGGGAAAGAGUGAUAACAAAGGAAACAAAGCUGCUUUCCACUUUCAUUGUUGUUUUUGUGUUUGCCUUGAAAACUGGGGACCACUUUCUGCAGCAUUCUUUACCAAUCAGGUAUUCAACUCCUUCACAUCAGGCAGUGGAGUUUUUUACCCUAAUUGGUCUUUUCUGUUGUGGUAGCC
rnacentral:lncRNA from 1 species